CCUACGGGAGGCAGCAGUGGGGAAUUUUGGACAAUGGGGGCAACCCUGAUCCAGCCAUGCCGCGUGCAGGAUGAAGGCCUUCGGGUUGUAAACUGCUUUUGUCAGGGACGAAAAGGACCGUGUUAAUACCAUGGUCUGCUGACGGUACCUGAAGAAUAAGCACCGGCUAACUACGUGCCAGCAGCCGCGGUAAU
rnacentral:rRNA from 1 species